rnacentral:misc_RNA from 1 species
UCCCAAGCCUUCUGGCGAUCUCUUAAAAUAAAGCUUUCCAUGUUUUUAAUAACCAUGGCUUUUAGACACCUCUUUAAAUUCUUAAUGAAUAUUAAAGAUCAGGGGUUAAAAAAAAGAGCUUUAACAAAGAAAGCAACUUAAAAAAACUUUCCAUUGAUAUAAGAUGAUACCGGGGAAGGUUUUCCGGUUUGUUCCGGAGGGCUUGUAGCUCAGUUGGUUAGAGCGCGCGCUUGAUAAGCGUGAGGUCGGAGGUUCAAGUCCUCCCAGGCCCACCAAUUACUCUAUCAAUCUAUAAGCGCUUGUGAAAUUUACUCAUAGGGAAUGUCCCUUAUCAGUUUUUAAGAAAUUUACUUUUGCAAAAUUAUGCUCUCUCUUUGGUUUUAAAAUCCGAAUUUUUAAAAACUAAAGUUAAAGUGGUCUCAAGAUAAAACGGUGUUUUGAGACAAAGUGCAAAAAAUAACGAUUUAAGUGAUAAAUAGCGGUUUAAGUGAACUUAAAUUUGAGCGUUUCAAGUGCAUUAUGUUUUUUUAGGGGCCGUAGCUCAGCUGGGAGAGCACCUGCUUUGCAAGCAG